GCAGGGAAAAAACUGGAGGAAAAUGCUGAAAUGAUGCUUGGAUUUGAAUUGUACUGUUCACAAGCAAAACGUGUCAGGCAUUAAGUGUAUAUAGCAUGCUGAUCAAUCCUGCACUGAACCACUUCCUAAUACUACUCUAUCAAACCUGACCCAGAGGACUGCCUAUCCUAGCAUUACCACCACUGUUACCACUACUGGAGCUGCACUGAUGGCCGGGCUAUGGUGGGAAAUUUGAGGGGGGGGAAAUCCAGUGUAGAUGACGCAACCAGAGCAAAUAUGCAGUUCUAACUGUGCAUCUGUUCAGUCCUUGGUUUCUCUGUUCAGCUCAGAUUGCCCAUGUGGGUUCCAAUGCAUCUAAUCUGGGAUACUUUUUUCCUGAUGUGAAUGCCGGUCUUCUAGGAGCUGUACUAAGACCACUAACUCAUUUCACAUAGGCAACGAAAAGCUAUUAUAUUCUGGUUAUUUACUAUGAACCUAAAUAGAAGGCAUACUGGUGAUAUUUGCUCAUUUGAUUUUAAAUCCCCAGGUGGAAUUCAUGGUGUACAUGUAUCCUAAAUCCUUUGCGUGCUCACUGUAUCAAAUCUAUACAAUAACACUUUUCAUACAAAUGUCUUGUGUUAUUUUAUAAAAGAAUGACACAUAAAAGCAAUUUAAAAGGUUAAACUAAAAGGAGUAUGUUUUUGUUCAUCUUAAAACUUUUCCAAAGGCAGAACAGCAACCACAAGUGAAUAAGGAAUUAAAUCAGAAUAAGAGGGGAAAGCUCUUUCCACAAGCUUAGAAGUUUUAAUUUGAGGAGGUUGUAAAUGGCUUGGG